rnacentral:lncRNA from 1 species
AGAUGGAGUCUCACUCGGUCAUGCAGGCUAGAGUGCAGUGGCGUGAUCUUGGCUCACUGCAACCUCCACCUCCUGGGUUCAAGCGAUUCUCCUGCCUCAGCCUCCCAAGUAGCUGGGAUCAUAGGCACCUGCCACAUGCCCGGCUAAUUUUUGUAUUUUGUAGUAGAGACAGUAUUUCGCCGUGUUGGCCAGGCUGGUCUUGAACCCCUGAUCUCAGGUGAUCCACCCACCUCGGCCUCCCAAAGUGCUAGGAUUACAGGCAUGAGCCACCGUGCCUGGCCUGUUUAAUAUCUUUCAUGAAAAAAACCAGUACCUGCCACCAACGCCAUAUAAUUAGAAAAACAGAUUAAGUUGAGAAUAAAACACAUAUACCCCCACCCAUCCCUUGCUUCAAGUAAAUUCACUUCACAUAAAUUUUAAGAUGCCAGGGACCCUGAGCAAGAAAUAUUUCUAGGAAGACUAAAACAGAUGACUGCAAGCCUGCUAAAGGGGGCUAAUGGAUGGUAAGAAAAGAGAAUAUGUGAGCAUCUCCCAUUGCCAAGUACCAUGCUCACUGAUUUAAUUGUUACUUUGGUUAAUGCUCACCAAUACUUCCUGGAGUAAAUAUCUAAAUUUUGACAGGAAGGCAAUAUAAUAAAUGAGUUAAGAGCUAGGCUUUAAAGGCAGAUUGCCUAGGUUCAAAUUCUGGUUUUACCAAUAACUGUGUCCCCUUGAGCAAACUUAACUUCUGUGCCUCAAUUUUUCCAUCUGUAAAAUGGGGACAGUAAUAGAACCUACUUUACAAGGAUAUUAGGGAGAUUAAAUUAAUACAUUUAAUACUUAGAAUAGUGCCCUGUACAUAAUAAUUAUUCAAUAAUUAUUAGUUGUUUUCAAUGAAGACACAGUGAGGCCAGGUGACUUUCCCCAAAACACAUUGUUUUUAAAUGGCAGUGCUGGGAUUUGGACUAAUAGAAUUGAGGUAGGAGGUAAGAAGCUUAGGUUAGGUAUCCUUAAAAAUCACAAAAAUCAAGUAAAAUUAGUUUAUGUUUGGGACACCAAAGUAUUUUCUGUAUAUACCCAGCUCCAUGCUUUUGUACAUUGUUUUUACUUAUUUUCAUAUCUCAGUAAAGCAUUCCUUUAAAAAUCUUCAAACACUAUUUUGGUCGAGCUCUGUUUUUCUAUACUUUGGGCAUGACAAGUUUAGAGGCAGGAAGGGAGACAGUGGAGUCCUUCCUCAUGGUUCCAAUGUACCUCUCUGAUACCAGAUGAAGAGAAAGUAACAGAAGAUAGGGCAGAAGGCAGUUGAGUAUGGAAACUAUAAAGGAACAGAGAAGGGGCCAGCCAGGAAAACUGAAGUCUCUAGCCAGAUGGAUUUUCUUUUUUCUUUUUAAAUCCACCCAAUGAAUUUCCAUACUGAGCAAAGAGGGUUAUCAGUCUUUUACCAAAGCCAUGGAACCAAAUCAUCCAUUCUCCAUAUAGUACAACUGCUGAUGUUACACGUCUAAUUGGCAAAACAAGCAAAUGUUUUUUGAAAAGCAAAGAUGUCCAUUUUUGUUAGGCAAUUCCAAUAUCCUACAUGUUUGUGUUUUAUCAUUUAAAGGAGUAUUUUAAUAAUUUAAACAAAGCAGGCAGUUUGAAUAUUGUGUCAAAGGAUGACAAAAAUUACAAUAAAACUAUUUGAUUAGUUAUGAAAAUGCAAAUGCAAAGCAUUGGACUGAAAGAGAUGCCAAACUUACUUGUUUCAGGCAGAGGUGAUGUUUUGAAAAAAAUGUUUUAACAUAGCUGACACUGUACUUAUAGUGAGACAAAAAUAUACCACCAUAUCUGUAAAUCAUGAAACCCAAAUGUAACUCUUGGAACAAGACUAAUUUUUCCACAUCAGAAAAUAUUAAACCACACUAUCAUACCUGGUAUCAAUUUUAUCUUGAAACCAUUCGCUGUAAGACGAGGAUCAGACAGGUAAGUUGAUCCACUGUAUCUUUGGUCAUCUGCUGUCAUUUUAUAUAAAACGUCUAAAUAAUGAGAUCCAUUAAAAAGACUGAAAAAGAAAUUAUGGCCCUUUAACUUAUUAAAAACACAAAAUAAGGGGGUUUACGGGAAAAAGUUAAUCCUAGGGCCCUUUGACAAGUGUUAUCAUCAUUAACCAAAAUACAAAGGUAUAAGUAGCCCUAUGAGAAAUCACUGUUUUACAUUUCUGUUAAUAUUUUAUUAAAUACCUACUGCACACAGUAUACAGAAAGAAGAUAAUCUGUCUUCUAGAAUGUUACAAAUUGAAUGUGAAAUUUUAAAAAUGGCUCUCUCUAAUACAAAUGAAAACUUUAUAAAUAAUUCCAUUUUAUUCCUUCAAAACAGACACAAUAAUACACUGUCAAGUUAGGUGGUCCACCCUGCCAAAUUUUCAACUGCUAUUCAAAGUUUCUUCUGUAACAAAAAGAUAAACAUGUAAUCUCUUUCUUCUAGGAACUAAUAAAUUAAUCAAUUUAGAGCUUGGGAGAGCUUCCUUCAGUCUACUGCAGGUCUGGCAUGUUUGCCAAAGGUGGUAUAUGAAAUGAUUCUGAGUGGUGCAAAAACUUGAGGAAGCCAAAGAUCACCUAGGGUACAAAUCAACCACACAUAUUGGUUUUAGGCUUGGUCAGGACGCGUUAUAGUCAUUGCAAAAAGGUGUCUGUCGGGGUUGAUGUGAAUAGUUACCAUCUUGCCACUCCUUCAAUGAAUAUUUGAGUGCCUACCUUGUGGCAGAUAUUGUCCUAGGUAUGUAUGCAAGGCACUGUUCUGUGUUCCAGUACGCUGAUAUCUUUGCUUAUCAGCUCUGAAUGGUUGAAGACCCCAAUGGCUGUGAGAGCUAAUAUUAUAGAGAAGAGAGCUUUGGCUAUAUAUCACAUGUACUCUGUUUCAUCUAACCAAUAUCCUAAAAAUCGAUCUGAGAGACAGUAGGGAUGGUGGUGGUGGUGAUGAUUAUGAUACUGUAUAGCAAUUAAUGGUGCAGGCUCCACAGUUAAACUGUCUAGAUUGUAAUCUUGGACAUACAGCUUAUUUACUGUCCGUGUGAGCCUAGUUAAGUUAUUUAACCAUUACAUUUCAGUUUCCUCAGCUAUAAAAUGUGGAUAUUAUCUACCUCAUAAAGUUGAUGUGAAGAUCAUGAAAAAACUUUGCCAAAUUCCUAUCAUACAGUAAAUGUUCAAUAAAUAUUAGCCAUCAUUAAGGUUAUUGUUAUUGAGCCCUUACUUUAUAGGUACCUAAAUUAUUCCACUUAGAGGUAAGUUACACAAACAGCAUUAGAACUCUGGCAAGAAAACUGAGCCCAACCUACAAUUACCCUGCCCACAUUGUCGCAUUGUGGGAUAAACUAGUCCCUGACUCAGUUUUGAAAAACUUACAUCAUUAACUGUGAUGGGGAUGCCACAUUCCAAAAGAAGGAGGAAAAACUAUUUUGAAUUAAUCUUUAUUCCUGUUUAUGCUCAAUUAAGAAAGAUUUUUUUUUCAGGCCAAUAUGGUCCCACAAUAAUAGUUUUUAAUGUAUUUGUUUUUUGAAGAACAGAACAUCACAUAGAAAAAUAUUUUUAAAAACCUAUCAUUUGAAAAAGCUCAAAAAGAUUUUUGAAAUUUAAAUGAAGUUUACAAAAUGCCAUUCAGAAAAGCAGUCAAGUCUAAAAAUUCAGAUGUACCCUAGCUCUUUUAGGUAAGAAAGAGAAAAGCACCAUCAGAUGUUUAAACUGUUUGAAUGUAGCCUAAGACACUAUUUUCUAAUUGUUCCUCUGACAGUUUCCUAAGCCAAUCUCAAGAGAAUACUAUGAAACAUACUGGAUUUUGGUUAAUGUGGUUGCUGUUUCCUUAUUUAAAAAGACAGACUUAACAGAUGUUUUUCUGUGUUCUGUCCCUGUUUUUUUCUCCUCCAAUGAUGGCAGUGUCUUUAACAAGAGUUUUAACACAUUUUAUAAAUGAUUUCUGCUUUAUUCUUGGAAGUUCUGAAACAGAAUUAUCUAACGAUGUGUCCUAGGGAACAAAUUAUCUUUUUAAACUUCAGGUUUUUAUUAUUUUUGUCAUGAUUCUCUUCUACCUGUGUCUGACUGAAAAAGAAAUAUUAAGUUAAAAAAGGGAAAUGUUAAUAGGUUAGUCAUUAUUUAUUUUUUAAUCUAGUAUGAACUAUUAUAAUAAAUAUUUUUACUCUUAAAAAGUAUUGUAUCAUCAUACCUCUCUGUUAACAUAAUUGGCUUUUCCAGUGGCUCUGCAGGAAGUUUAUGAUUCUCAAGAAGUCUUUUAAAUAGCAGGGCUUCUUCUACUCUAUAUGGAUUUAAUAACAUUACCUCUGUUUUGGAUGUCAUUAGCCAUGCAUCAGGAAACCUGAGAUUGUGGAUCAAGCAAGGUUCAUCCUUCUCUUCUAAGUCAACUUUGUUUUGUUUCUUAAAAUUUAUUUUUAAGUUUUUCAUAGAAAAGGGGAUCUGUACCAUUUUAAUAUUUUGACUCCUUCUUUUUUCAAUUUGGGACUGAAGGAGUUCAUCAAGUUUUGGUUGAUUAGAUAAUGAGGUUUUUAACUUGUGCUUCUGGGCCAAAUUCCAUGCGCUGGUGGGUUUUAUCUUUUUUCUGCCAUCUUUUAGUGACAUUUGUGACUCCUGUUCAAUGGCUCUCUUCAUUUGACUAUUGUAUCGUUCCAAGUCUUUAGUAGCCUUCUCUUCAUAUCUAAGAAUAGAAAUAAAAUAGAACUAAUGAGAUCAUAAUCAGAAAUAUAUUAACCAUCUGAAGUAAAUUUUAUAAAAAUAAAGU